GUUACCACGGACAUUUAACUUAUUUCUGCGCCCUUUUUCCCCCUCUACAAAAUGCAGCCUGGCUAAAUGCUUUGAGACUUCAGCAAGGAAAGGGUUAAGAACAUUUUCUAUGCUAUAGCUGUCAUGCGCUUGGACAGUUAACAGCCGUGUGCCGAGUCUGUUGGCAGUUGGGCGGCGGCCAUCUUAGGAGGAUGGGCAGAGUGGAACAGGACCUAGGAGCAGAAGGUGCUGAGCUGAUUUGGUGGUGUACAUGGUGACCAAAGGAGACUCCUUACCUGAUCUUCAAUAAAUCAGAGUCCAGCAGCUGACAAUGAGAGUGUCUAUGGAGUGAUGCCACACCGCAAACAUAGAGAACAGUGUCCAGCAGUUAACAGAAUACCAAACAAAGCUAUUGUGUAUACAACAGUUCCGAGCUGACAACCAUGCACCACAAAGUCUACAUACUUCUCCAGGAGAAGGCCACGGUACAGAUGACAUAAGUGGUGAGAAGGACAGCUACUGCCAGCAGAAAAGGCUUUUAAGAUGUAAGACAAGGGCUGCUUAUAUACUGACACAUGGAAAUGCUUCUAUGUCAUGUCAUUUAUUUAUUAUCCUCUCAAUGUAUAGCUUUUCUUGGUUUCAAUACAGCCAAUUCAGUAGUUAUAAUCAGAUGGUGAGAAUCCAAGCACACAUACUGUAUAAACCCACGCAUAUGCCUAUGCAUGCUGAUAUAAAUGACACAUUGUGCAGCACCCCUAAAGAACUUUAGCUGCUUUGGUUAUAUAGUUAUUCAGCAACUUAAUAAAUACCCAAUAAGCAAA